CAAUGAAACAUUUAAUUUUAAUAGAGGAUAUUGCAUAAGUUUACUGAUAUGAAACAAAAAAAAAUUACAUCUGUAAAAAAUUAAUUAACAACUAAUUUAUAAAGGGUCAAUUUAAGUUGAGUAUUGUGCCCUAAUUCAUGCUUAAGCAAUGUUUCAAACUGGCUCUCAAAUCUAAUUUCAGGGUCAAAUUUGCGUCAUGUUGUCCUGAUCUGCAAUGUCAACAUGCGCAGUUGAUUUGUCCGUGCUGUGUGGUAGGGCUGAACGAUAUGGACAAAAUUUCAUAUCUCGAUUUUCAUGCCAGAUAUCUUGAUAUCGAUACAAUACGAUAUGACUACGUGUUAUUUUGCUAAGCACGACCUGCACAACACGUCACUCUGGUUUACAUCGUCUUUUCUGAAUUCAAAAUACUUCCAAAUUAUGGAAGAUGAUUUAUGUUUUGGCAUCAAGUCAGAUUCUGCACUGCCACCGGCCGCAUUCUCCCAUUUUCUUUCUUUCUAAUUUAUCCGCUGUCUCUGUACAGUGUGCAUAGACGUUGGAACAGGGGGGGCUCGGGGGGGCGGCUGCUGUGUCAGAAAAUGUAUUGUUUUUAAGCCUUUCGCACGUACGAUCAAACAGGUGUAAUCAGACUAGGCUGGUCCCUGGAGUGUACGAUCAAGUGCAUCACAUGAUCAGCUGCUAAAUUCAAAUGUUGAAUUAACCAGAGACAGGCGCGCUCGAGCUGUCAUAUACAGGGUCCCCGCGGGUCCUUAAAAAGUCUUGAAAUGUCUUAAAUACAAUUUUCAAUUUUUAAGGUCUGAAAAUGUCUUGAAUCCUGGAAUUUCCCAUAUGAAUGUCUUAAAUUUCAUGUGGGAUCUUAAAUUUCAUGUCCGACUCGUCAUUUUUAUUUAUUUUUUCGACCGCACUUUGACCAGCGUAACAUUUGGGGGCAGCACUUCGUGGGAUCAACCUUCAUCAUUCCAUAGGCGACAUACGAGUAAGUGAUUGAUGAACGCGUUGCGUUGAUGGUUCGCCACCACGGCAGUUUGCGAAAUCGCAAGCAUGGGCAAAGACUAGUGGUGGAAAUUAUGAUUCUUUCUAGUGAUUCGUUCAUUUUCAGUUCGUUCACCAAAAUGAUUCGUUCAGAAUCGUUCACUGAUUCGUUCAGUGACCAUUUCUUCGUAUUACACAAAAUAAGCCAGCAGAUGGCAAAAAAAGUGUAUUAUGUUGUUAUGUCUUAAGUCAACGAACGUAUUCAGUUGUUGCAAAAACUGAUCUGGCUUUAUUAAAAUGUGUGUAUAAUCGCAUUCAAUAUAUAAAGUCUAAUUAAGUUGUUCAGAUGAACAAAGCACAAGGUUUUCUUGCCUAAAUAGCAUUUUAAUUGUUUGGUCAGACAGUUUGUAUAUUAGAUAUAUUCACAUUCAUCAAUCGUGGAUUAAACGUGGAGUUGCUAAAUAUCAAAACAAGCGUAUGUGCACAGUACAGUACCUAUAACUGGGCUUUGCAUUUUUGCGAGAUUGACAUGCUAAAUGGCAGACUGACCCGGUUUACUCUCAUUCAUUUCGUUCACGAACGAGAUAAGCUAUGUACCAGUUCAUUUCAUUCACGAACGACAUGUAUCCGUUCAUUCAGCUCGUUCACGAAUGACAUGUGUGCCAGUUCAGUCAUUUCAUUCACGAACGAGAUUUACUAAAUCAUUCAACUCGUGCACGAACGACAUGUGCUUUGCCGAUUGAGAAACGUGAUUGGUAAACGGUUUGCCAGAAUAUACCCUGACCAUCAGGUCAGUAAUUUCAUUCACGAACGAGAUGUAUCAUUCAACUCGUGCACGAACGACAUGUGUGCCAGUUCAGUCAUUUCAUUCACGAACGAUAUGUAUCAGCUCAUUCAACUCAUUCACGAACGACAUGGGUACCAGUUCAGUCAUUUCGUUCACGAACGAUAAGAUCUCUAGAUCUAGUUCAGACUCAUAUGAAACUCGUUCAUUGAAGGGCGUAUUCGUUCACUACAUUCAACAAAUCAAAUACUCUGUCACAUCUCAUACUCGAAGGCUAUUGGCUCGAGGUUGAGUAAUUCUUUGACAGGAUGAAACAGUUGUUACCCGGUUCACUGAGCUGCGCAUGCGCUGCUUAUAGCGCCGCGCUGCUGUGGAGGGAGGAACUUCACUGAACGAGAAAUAUGAGUCAGUGGAUUACGUGAACGAGAACGAUUCGUUCACCUAAAAGAUUCGUUCAAAAAGAACGAUUCGUUCACGAACGACACAUCACUAGCAAAGACGAUAAAGCUGUGGACAAGAACACGAUUGUCAGGUCUCGCUAUCUUGGUUCUCAGUUUUUGAGCCCCUCAACGGCAGAAGACUUGCUGUAGCACUUUAAGGAGGGCACCAAGGAACUUAAUUUAAGGAACAUGCUUUCUGUGUCAAUGGAUGGACCCACAGUAAAUUGGAAAGUCAUGGAUCUCCUACAACUGGAACAUGCAAUAAAUUUCUGAUCCUGA